GUCCUACCGCCGAGAAGUCCACUGAACCUUAUCAUACGUCACUUAGAGGAAGGACGGAAGGAUCAUUGUCGAGAACCGACCGAGAGACCGCGAACCCGUAAACGGAUGACACCGUGUCGGGCGGACAGUUUGCUCUGCCCGCCCUGCUCGGGACCCCGCAUCCUGUCCGCGAUCGCCCCCGGGCGGCCCCGGACACGCUCUGCGGGGGACGGACGAAACCCCGGCGCCUCGGCGGCGGCGCGGCGCGGCAUGGACGGCAACGCCUCGGCGGCGGCGCGGCGCCCGCUCUCUAUCUAUACGACUCUCGGCAACGGAUAUCUCGGCUCUCGCAUCGAUGAAGAACGUAGCGAAAUGCGAUACUUGGUGUGAAUUGCAGAAUCCCGUGAACCAUCGAGUCUUUGAACGCAAGUUGCGCCCGAGGCCUUUCGGUCGAGGGCACGCCUGCCUGGGCGUCACGCCUUGUUUCGCUCCGUUCCCAUGCCCCCUCGGGGGCGGCCACGGAUGCGGAGACUGGCCCUCCGUGCCUCGCGCGCGGGCCGUCGGCGCCGGGAUGGGCAGUGGUGGACGGAGCACCAGCAGGAUGUCGUGGCCCCCCGUCGCCUUAAGGGGCUCAAGAGACCCGGACCAGGCGAGCCGUGCUCCGUACGAGGAGGGCGUGCCGCCUCGCAACGCGACCCCAGGUCAGGCGGGGACACCCGCUGAGUUUAAGCAUAUCAAUAAGCAGUUUAAGC
rnacentral:rRNA from 1 species